UACGGGGGGGGCAAGCGUUGUUCGGAAUUACUGGGCGUAAAGGGCUCGUAGGCGGCCAACUAAGUCGGAUGUGAAAUCCCCAGGCUUAACCUGGGAACUGCAUCCGAUACUGGAUGGCUUGAAUCCGGGAGAGGGAUGCGGAAUCCCAGGUGUAGCGGUGAAAUGCGUAGAUAUCUGGAGGAACACCGGUGGCGAAGGCGGCAUCCUGGACCGGCAUUGACGCUGAGGAGCGAAAGCCAGGGGAGCAAACGGG
rnacentral:rRNA from 1 species